rnacentral:lncRNA from 1 species
GAUGACCAACUCACGAAAUUUACUUCAAUUCCAUAACGCCUAACGCUACUAGAAAAUAAUAGUAUCAUGACUCCAAUCUCUACGACAAACAAAUGAGAAAAUCAAAGCUACAACUCAUAACUGACGUGGGAUUAACUAAAAGCACAGGGAUAGAAAAAAAAAAGUGAAAAGUAAGAAAAGGUUCAAUAAUUUAUUUACCUUCCUGUCUUGACAUAAACUAUUAUCCGACGAUUACUGUAUUGCGGGACCUUCUUAAUAGCCUCGGCAAUUGUCUUGAACGUACCGUUACCGUCCUUUGACACAAUUAUAUCUGCGUGUAUUGCCGACACUGGCGUGUCCAGUAGCAUUCGCUCCUUCCUAUUCAACCAUUUUGGAAAAGGAGCAAAAUCCUCGUCUUUUGCCGACACUACAGUGCCUGCAUCAUCAGUUGAUCCCAUUAAUCUACGCCGUCGAUGUGUAUUGCCGACACUGGCGUGUCCAGUAACACUCGCUCCUUCCUAUUCAACCAUUUUGGAAAAGGAGCAAAAUCCUCGUCUUUUGCCGACACUACAGUACCUGCAUCAUCAGUUGAUCCCAUUAAUCUACGC